CCUACGGGAGGCAGCAGUGGGGAAUUGUUCGCAAUGGGCGCAAGCCUGACGACGCAACGCCGCGUGGAGGAUGAAGACCUUCGGGUCGUAAACUCCUUUCGAUCGAGACGAAUGUUUUCCGGGUGAACAAUCCGGAAAAGUGACGGUACCGAGAGAAGAAGCCCCGGCUAACUCUGUGCCAGCAGCCGCGGUAAUACAGGGGGGGCAAGCGUUGUUCGGAAUUACUGGGCGUAAAGGGCUUGUAGGUGGCCAACUAAGUCAGACGUGAAAUCCCUCAGCUUAACUGGGGAACUGCGUCUGAUACUGGAUGGCUUGAGUUUGGGAGAGGGAUGCGGAAUUCCAGGUGUAGCGGUGAAAUGCGUAGAUAUCUGGAGGAACACCGGUGGCGAAGGCGGCAUCCUGGACCAACACUGACACUGAGGAGCGAAAGCCAGGGGAGCAAACGGGAUUAGAUACCCCCGGGUAGUCCUGGCCCUAAACGAUGAAUGCUUGGUGUGGCGGGUAUCGAUCCCUGCCGUGCCGAAGCUAACGCAUUAAGCNUCCGCCGUGGGAGGUACGGUCGCGAGGCGUAGAAACGUUAAAGGUAAGUUAGUACGGCGUGAGACGUCGCCGACGGACGACGACGAGGGAGGAGG
rnacentral:rRNA from 1 species